rnacentral:rRNA from 1 species
UACGUAGGGUGCAAGCGUUAAUCGGAAUUACUGGGCGUAAAGCGUGCGCAGGCGGUUUUGUAAGUCUGUCGUGAAAUCCCCGGGCUUAACCUGGGAAUGGCGAUGGAGACUGCAAGGCUAGAGUUUGGCAGAGGGGGGGUAGAAUUCCACGUGUAGCAGUGAAAUGCGUAGAGAUGUGGAGGAACACCGAUGGCGAAGGCAGCCCCCUGGGUCAAAACUGACGC